UACGGAGGGUGCAAGCGUUGUCCGGAUUCACUGGGUUUAAAGGGUGCGUAGGCGGAUUAAUAAGUCAGUGGUGAAAUCCUACAGCUUAACUGUAGAACUGCCAUUGAUACUGUUAUUCUUGAGUCCAGUCGAGGUGGAUGGAAUUUAUGAUGUAGCGGUGAAAUGCAUAGAUAUCAUAAAGAACACCAAUUGCGUAGGCAGUUCACUAGACUGGUACUGACGCUGAGGCACGAAAGCGUGGGGAGCGAACAGG
rnacentral:rRNA from 1 species